rnacentral:snRNA from 1 species
GUCCUCACUUUGAUAGUACUUAUACAAAAACUAGAAUGAUAAAGACAUUAACAUGUCUCCUGUGCAAGGAUGACACACAAAUUUGUGAAAUGUUUCAUAUUUUU